AUUUAACGCUGGCGGGAUGCUUUACACAUGCAAGUCGAACGGCAGCAUAGAGAGCUUGCUCUCUGAUGGCGAGUGGCGAACGGGUGAGUAAUAUAUCGGAACGUGCCCAGUAAUGGGGAAUAACUAGCCGAAAGGUUAGCUAAUACCGCAUACGACCUACGGGUGAAAGCAGGGGAUCUUAGGACCUUGCGUUAUUGGAGCGGCCGAUAUCUGAUUAGCUUGUUGGUGGGGUAAAAGCCUACCAAGGCAACGAUCAGUAGCUGGUCUGAGAGGACGAUCAGCCACACUGGAACUGAGACACGGUCCAGACUCCUACGGGAGGCAGCAGUGGGGAAUUUUGGACAAUGGGGGAAACCCUGAUCCAGCCAUCCCGCGUGAGUGAAGAAGGCCUUCGGGUUGUAAAGCUCUUUCGAAAGUGAAGAAAACUUAUUUCAUAAUAUGUUAUGAGUAUGACGGUAACUUUAGAAGAAGCACCGGCUAACUACGUGCCAGCAGCCGCGGUAAUACGUAGGGUGCGAGCGUUAAUCGGAAUUACUGGGCGUAAAGCGUGCGCAGGCGGUUUUGUAAGUCAGAUGUGAAAUCCCCGAGCUUAACUUGGGAACUGCGUUUGAAACUACAAGACUAGAGUGUGUCAGAGGGGGGUAGAAUUCCACGUGUAGCAGUGAAAUGCGUAGAGAUGUGGAGGAAUACCAAUGGCGAAGGCAGCCCCCUGGGAUAACACUGA
rnacentral:rRNA from 2 species